AUGGUGGUUUCGGACCUAAUCAAUCCUGUCACCCGAUCAUGGAACAAGCAAGCCCUAACUGAGAACUUCAUACCUGCUGAUGUCGAGGUUAUUCUCAACAUACCACUUAGUACAAGGCAACAAGAGGACUUCUGGGCUUGGCAUUAUGAUAAGCGAGAUUCUCCAUCUUGUUCUAUAUGUGGAGCGGAGGAGGACACUUGGCGCCACUCGCUACUAAUCUGCCGCAUGGCAAGAUGUGUUUGGGCUUUGGAGGAUGAUGAACUGGUCGAGCAUGUGAUAUCAAACCAAACCGAAGAUGCGAGGCUUUGGCUGUUUUGGCUGUUUGAGACGACAAAUCAACAUGACCUAGCUCGGAUUUUGGUGACCAUGUGGGCAAUUUGGUGGGACAGGAGAAAGGCCAUCCAUGAGAAUAAACUUAGAGCCCGCUUUCCACUAUGA
rnacentral:rRNA from 1 species